rnacentral:rRNA from 1 species
UACGUAGGCAGCAAGCGUUGUUCGGAGUUACUGGGCGUAAAGGGUGCGUAGGCGGUCCUAUAAGUAUGGUGUGAAAUCUCCCGGCUUAACUGGGAGGGUGCGCUAUAGACUGUGGGACUAGAGUGUGGGAGAGGAAAGUGGAAGUUCCUGGUGUAGCGGUGAAAUGCGUAGAUAGUGGGUGGAACACCGGUGGCGAAAGCGGCCCCCGGACCCGGUCCUGACGCUGAG